GGCACCUGCAUCACACUUAUGGCCUGUGCCAGCUACUUUAAAGACACUCACCCGGCCUCCUCUGGUGUAGGGGAAUGAGGCAAUAAAUUACCCAUAAACUUUCCCUCUUGGAAAUAAUUAUCGUCGCCUCCCACAUCUGUCGGCAGACACUGUCUCAUGAUGGAUUGGCAUGCACGAUGCACACUGUAAUGAGAGACACUCAUCCUGCCCACAAAGCGUUGCUUGACCAGAAAUUGAAAUAACAGAUUAUUGGGCUCUCAUGGAGUCUUUCUUUGACAAGAGGUCAAAAUCGUUACUCUACUGAUUCUUGCCUUCCCCUAGCUGUCCUUUGAUCCCGACUUCAACUACUGGAAUUUCAGAAGUCAGCCCUUUGUUGGCAUCCCCCUCUAUGGAACACCAGACCCUCGGUGAUCGCCAGGCCACAGCGCCUGCUCAACAGCGCCAGUUCAAUCUCCCUGCAUCUAUUCCUGUCACCAUAAAACCUCCCCAGGUUGGAGGCAGUCAUAUGGAUGUCACUGAAGACUCUGGAGAAACCUGAUGGGGGACCAGCCGCCUGGGGCAGAGCGCAGCACCACCCACAUCUCACAACUUGUGGGCCUCCCAUGGUAGUGAUUUCCAUGCAGCUGGAGGGGGUAGAGAGGAGAGGCAGAGAGGUCAAACUACGACGCUGGCAAGAGUAAAGGUAAUUGAACAUGCUCCAGAGAUAAACCAGUGCCUUCUUCAGGGGGAGGGAGAGCUGGGCCUUAGCAAACAGCAGCCUUCGAAAAAGGCUUAGGGCCUUUCUGGUUGGGAAAGGGAC